CAGUCGCCGCGGUAAUACAGAGGGUGCGAGCGUUAAUCGGAUUUACUGGGCGUAAAGCGUGCGUAGGCGGCUUUUUAAGUCGGAUGUGAAAUCCCUGAGCUUAACUUAGGAAUUGCAUUCGAUACUGGGAAGCUAGAGUAUGGGAGAGGAUGGUAGAAUUCCAGGUGUAGCGGUGAAAUGCGUAGAGAUCUGGAGGAAUACCGAUGGCGAAGGCAGCCAUCUGGCCUAAUACUGACGCUGAGGUACGAAAGCAUGGGGAGCAAACAGGAUUAGAUACCCCCGUAGUUCCUGUCUCUUAUAU
rnacentral:rRNA from 1 species